rnacentral:rRNA from 1 species
CAGCCGUAAACUAUGCGCGUUAGGUGUAUCGGUGACCACGAGUCACCGAGGUGCCGAAGGGAAACCGUGAAACGUGCCGCCUGGGAAGUACGGUCGCAAGGCUGAAACUUAAAGGAAUUGGCCGGGGGGAGCACCACAACGGGUGGAGCCUGCGGUUUAAUUGGACUCAACGCCGGGAAGCUCACCGGAUAAGACAGCGGAAUGAUUGCCGGGCUGAAGACUCUGCAUGACUAGCUGAGAGGAGGUGCAUGGCGUAGACGUCU